CCUACGGGAGGCAGCAGUGGGGGAUAUUGCACAAUGGGGGGAACCCUGAUGCAGCGACGCCGCGUGGGUGAAGGAGUGCUUCGGCAUGUAAAGCCCUAUCGGCAGGGAAGAAGCAUGACGGUACCUGACUAAGAAGCCCCGGCUAACUACGUGCCAGCAGCCGCGGUAAUACGUAGGGGGCGCGCGUUAUCCGGAUUCACUGGGUGUAAAGGGAGCGUAGGCGGCCAUGCAAGCCAGGGGUGAAAGCCCGGGGCCCAACCCCGGGACUGCCCUUGGAACUGUGCGGCUAGAGUGCGGGAGGGGCAGGCGGAAUUCCUGGUGUAGCGGUGAAAUGCGUAGAUAUCAGGAGGAACACCGGCGGCGAAGGCAGCCUGCUGGACUGCGACUGACGUUGAAGCUCGAAGGCGUGGGGAGCGAACAGGAUUAGAUACCCGAGUAGUC
rnacentral:rRNA from 1 species